rnacentral:rRNA from 1 species
GACGAACGCUGGCGGCGUGCCUAAUACAUGCAAGUAGAACGCUGAAGGAGGAGCUUGCUUCUCUGGAUGAGUUGCGAACGGGUGAGUAACGCGUAGGUAACCUGCCUGGUAGCGGGGGAUAACUAUUGGAAACGAUAGCUAAUACCGCAUAAUAGCAGUUGUUGCAUGACAACUGUUUGAAAGGUACAAUUGCACCACUACCAGAUGGACCUGCGUUGUAUUAGCUAGUUGGUGGGGUAACGGCUCACCAAGGCGACGAUACAUAGCCGACCUGAGAGGGUGAUGGGCGACACUGGGACUGAGACGAGGCCCAGACGCCUACGGGGGGCAGCAGUAGGGAAUCUUCGGAAAUAGACGUAAGUCUGACCGAGCAACGCCGGGUGAGUGAAGAAGGUUUUCGGAUCGGAAAGCUCUGUUGUAAGAGAAGAACGAGUGUGAGAGUGGAAAGUUCACACUGUGACGGUAUCUGACCAGAAAGGGACGGCUAACUACGUG